GAUGAACGCUAGCGGCAGGCUUAACACAUGCAAGUCGAGGGGUAACAUUAGUGCUUGCACUAGAUGACGACCGGCGCACGGGUGCGUAACGCGUAUAGAAUCUACCUUUUACAGGGGGAUAGCCUUUAGAAAUGAAGAUUAAUAUCCCAUGGUAUUGCGAAGUGGCAUCACUUUGUAAUUAAAGAUUUAUCGGUAAAAGAUGACUAUGCGUCCUAUUAGUUAGUUGGUAAGGUAACGGCUUACCAAGACAUCGAUAGGUAGGGGUCCUGAGAGGGAGAUCCCCCACACUGGUACUGAGACACGGACCAGACUCCUACGGGAGGCAGCAGUGAGGAAUAUUGGGCAAUGGAGGCAACUCUGACCCAGCCAUGCCGCGUGCAGGAAGACUGCCCUAUGGGUUGUAAACUGCUUUUAUACAGGAAGAAACACUGCUACGUGUAGCAGCUUGACGGUACUGUAAGAAUAAGGACCGGCUAACUCCG
rnacentral:rRNA from 1 species